rnacentral:ncRNA from 1 species
UGGCCGACAGGUCCGGGAAACCCGUUGAACCCCGCUCGUGCUAGGGAUAGGGAAUUGCAAUUAUUUCCCUUGAACGAGGAAUUCCCAGUAAGCGCGAGUCAUUAGCUCGCGUUGAUUACGUCCCUGCCCUUUGUACACACCGCCCGUCGCUACUACCGAUUGAAUGGUUUAGUGAGGUCCUCCGAUUGGACCCGGUCCGGGCGGCGACGUCCGAGCCGGCGUCCGAGAAGACGAUCUAACUUGAUCAUUUAGAGGAAGUAAAAGUCGUAACAAGGUUUCCGUAGGUGAACCUGCGGAAGGAUCAUUA